rnacentral:tRNA from 1 species
GCCCGGGUGGUGGAAUCGGUAGACACGAGGGACUUAAAAUCCCUUGGCUUAUGGCUGUGCGGGUUCAAGUCCCGCCUCGGGUA